AACGUAGGAGACGAGCGUUAUCCGGAUUUACUGGGCGUAAAGCGCGUGCAGGCGGUUUAUUAAGUCACUUGUGAAAGCGCCCGGCUCAACUGGGCGAGGCCGUGUGAGACUGAUAGACUUGAGAGAGGUAGAGGCGAAUGGAAUUCCGGGUGGAGUGGUGAAAUGCGUAGAGAUCCGGAGGAACACCAGUGGCGAAGGCGGCCUGCUGGGCAGUAGCUGACACUGAGGCGCGACAGCGUGGGGAGCAAACAGG
rnacentral:rRNA from 1 species